GAAGAAUUCCAAAGAUCAAUAAAGAUCAAGAGGCCCUCUGGGCAAAGGGCCUGUUCAGUGUGGACUUGAUCACAGGCUGCUGGCCAGCGGGGAAGAUGGAAGUCGCCGGCUUGACUGAGACAUUCACCCCAGCCUUAGAUUUAGGGCAGGACCCUCUCACUGUGUGGUCACCCUUUAUUUUCUCAGCUCUUAUUUAAAAAGAAGAAGAAAAAAAGAAUGUCUGGACAACAGCUAAGGCAGGCAUCCAGAAAUAGGAACACUUUUCUUAGAACACAGCCCAGAUGCAAACAUCAGGAGCAGACACUGCCCAGAUGGCGGCUUUACCCCAGCUGGACUCCUCUGAGGCUUUGGUGGUGGACAGCCCUGUGCCGCAAGCUGGAGUAAGCCGAUUCUCCCCAUGGGGGAAGCAGCUCUGGGGAAGCCAGCUGCCAUGCUAAAAAAGACACUCAAGCAGCCCCACGGAGAGGUCCACAACGCAAGGAGCUGAGUCCUCCCACCAACAGCCAGUGAGGAGCCGAGGCCUCCCACCUACAACCAGUGAGGAGCUGAGGCCUCCUGCCACAGUCACGGGAGUGAGCCUUGGAAGCAGAUCCUCCAGUGUCCGUCAGGCCUUCAGAAACUGCAGCCCCUGC
rnacentral:lncRNA from 10 species